rnacentral:tRNA from 1 species
GCCGGAGUGGUGGAAUUGGUAGACGCAGGGGACUCAAAAUCCCCCGGGCGACAGCCUGUGCCGGUUCGAGUCCGGCCUCCGGCACCA